rnacentral:rRNA from 1 species
CCAGCUCCAAUAGCGUAUAUUAAAGUUGUUGCAGUUAAAAAGUUCGUAGUUGAAUGUCUGGGCCCAGCCGCGGUCGACCUUGUGUCUGCACUAGCGGUCUGGCGCCCAUACUUGCAGGGGCUGCGGGUGUGGUUCACGCCCGCCCGUAGGACCUGCAUCAAUUACUGUGAGCAAAUUAGAGUGUUCCAAGCGGGCAGGACUGCUUGAAUACAUUAGCAUGGAAUAAUGAGAUAGGACCCUGGUGCUAUUUCGUUGGUUGCGUACCGGAGUAAUGAUUAACAGGGACAGUUGGGGGUAUUCGUAUUUGAAUGUCAGAGGUGAAAUUCUUGGAUUUUUCAAAGACGAACAACUGCGAAAGCAUUUACCAAGGAUGCUUUCA